UGUGCUCCUGGUCACAGGCUGCGGCUCUGGUGGGAAGGAGGCGUCUGGAAGGAGCGAUGCCCGGGUCCUGUUCAGCAUCAGGGUGGGAGGCCAGGUCCUGGGUUCCCUGUAAGACAGAGUAGGUGUUAUCUGGAGGACGCUGCAUGUGUUGGCGGCAGAGAAGAGGACCACCUUUGUUCUUUUAGUCAAUCAGUGUUUGUCAAGAGCCCACGAUGGGCCAGGCUCUACGGAUGCACAAAAACAGAUGCACAUUUUUUCAUCCAUGGUCGUGGCUGCAUAAACCAGAGGAGAAGCUGCGGAAGCCAAGCCCAGAGAAGGUGUAUAGGCAACAAACACUCAGAGAGGCCAGGUGAUUGACUUAAGGCCACACAGCAGGUACGGAACGGAGCCAGGACCCAAUCUGCUUCUAAAGCCCUUCCGUCUUCUGUACCGUGGCCCGGCAUCAUGCCCAAGAAAGUCUCAAAAUAAGUUCCAUUCCAUCACAUCGAUUCCUCCUCUCCCUUGUCUUCCCACGGCAGAGUUGGGUGCAGCUUUUUACCACACUCAUCAACUUUUAAUGUUUUGCUUUUUGAAAAUAUCUAUAGCUGUGGGUCGAAGGCCAGAGCUGAAUGAAGGUGCCUAGUGGGUGUCCGAAGGUUAAUUUCCAGCUUGUUAAUAAACAAACUCCCGGGACUCACACAGAACAUUUUUUAGCAUCUUGCAGUUUUGGUAAGUGACAGUUUUGCAAAUUGCGGGUAAAGAACUUAAAUGUCUAAUUAAAUCCUGAAGAUGUACAGGAGUUUGAAACCCGUGAUUGAUGUUCACGGAGGUGCGGGUCCCUGAUGGAGCCUGCCUGACAGAGACUGCAAAGCCCGCUCGGCGACUGAUGUCUUGUUGUGAUCCGGGUUGUCAUUUUUUCAUUACUGAUUAAAAUUAAAAAUCUGCUUGGCAAAUCCAUUGUAAAAAUUCCCUUCAUGAGCAUCGAUGGGUACAAAUUAUUUUGUCAAUCGUCUGGCAAU